rnacentral:rRNA from 1 species
GUGCUUGCACUGAAUGAGAUGUUAACACGAAGUGAGUGGCGGACGGGUGAGUAACACGUGGGUAACCUGCCCAGAAGCAGGGGAUAACACCUGGAAACAGAUGCUAAUACCGUAUAACAGAGAAAACCGCCUGGUUUUCUUUUAAAAGAUGGCUCUGCUAUCACUUCUGGAUGGACCCGCGGCGCAUUAUGCUAGUUGGUGAGGUAACGGCUCACCAAGGCGAUGAUGCGUAGCCGACCUGAGAGGGUAAUCGGCCACAUUGGGACUGAGACACGGCCCAGACUCCUACGGGAGGCAGCAGUAGGGAAUCUUCCACAAUGGACGCAAGUCUGAUGGAGCAACGCCGCGUGAGUGAAGAAGGGUUUCGGCUCGUAAAGCUCUGUUGUUAAAGAAGAACGUGGGUGAGAGUAACUGUUCACCCAGUGACGGUAUUUAACCAGAAAGCCACGGCUAACUACGUGCCAGCAGCCGCGGUAAUACGUAGGUGGCAAGCGUUAUCCGGAUUUAUAGGGCGUAAAGCGAGCGCAGGCGGUCUUUUAAGUCUAAUGUGAAAGCCUUCGGCUCAACCGAAGAAGUGCAUUGGAAACUGGGAGACUUGAGUGCAGAAGAGGACAGUGGAACU